CUAAAGCAAGAAUGCUUGUCAAAAGUUGAUCUAUUUUAUUUACCUUUUAUCUAAAUAACAUCUCUCUGAGAAAGAAAAAGUGCAACAGAAUGGCUUGUAGUAUUCCAUCUUUAAAGAAAAGUGGUCUCUCUUACCUCCAAGUUAAAAAAAUUACACAUUCCCUCCCCUCCUUUACUCUCUCCUCCCCUCUCUCAGUUGGCCAACUUUUUAUAUCAAAGGCAGGGAGGGAGAUGCAUUAUCUUGAUGCCAAAACAACCAUGAUUGUUAUAAGUUUCUCAUCAUCAUCCAUAUAUCUUAGCUGCCAAAAACUCUGCUUUGGAGAAGACAUCUAGAGGGUUAAGUUGGUAAUAGAAGUAGAGAGGGUCAUGGGAAAGAACAUUAGAGUGGUUUUCGGUGCACUUCUAUUGGUGGGGUUUUGCUGUUUUUUGUUAUUUGACGUCACAAUUCCACGCAUUACAAGUGUUGGUGUUAAAGAAAGAGUCACAAGGAGGCACGAGGGUUUGGUUCUUAAUUUCGUGAGCAAAAGAAGAGUACCAAAUGGCCCUGAUCCUAUUCAUAACCGGAAAAUAGGAAAUACCCGACAGCCGCCAGAACGAGCUUAAGAUUGGCCGGGUUUGAAGACUUGUGUACAUGGAAAGUCCAUUAUAAUCUUACAUUCUUGAGAUAGUGAUCAGGAUAUAUGAAUAUGAUCUAUGACAAGUUCUUUUUGUACGUGGUUUUUAUUAUUAUGUCUAGAAAGAAAGUAGUAUGAAGCUUUUUCAAAGGGUACUUAUGGGGGUUGUCUUUGUAGUAGUUAUUCAAAGUUUGAUUCAUGGAUUUGAGAUGUUUAGUUUUAGAUGAAAAGGAAUGAAAUCUAAUACAGUUAGUAUGUGUGUGAUA